rnacentral:rRNA from 1 species
AGCGAACGCUGGCGGCAGGCCUAACACAUGCAAGUCGAACGAAGUCUUCGGACUUAGUGGCGGACGGGUGAGUAACACGUGGGAACGUGCCUUUAGGUUCGGAAUAACCCAGGGAAACUUGUGCUAAUACCGAAUGUGCCCUUCGGGGGAAAGAUUUAUCGCCUUUAGAGCGGCCCGCGUCUGAUUAGCUAGUUGGUGAGGUAAAGGCUCACCAAGGCUACGAUCAGUAGCUGGUCUGAGAGGAUGACCAGCCACAUUGGGACUGAGACACGGCCCAAACUCCUACGGGAGGCAGCAGGGGGGAAGCUUGCGCAAUGGGCGAAAGCCUGACGCAGCCAUGCCGCGUGGAUGAUGAAGGUCUUAGGAUUGUAAAAUCCUUUCACCGGUGAAGAUAAUGACUGUAGCCGGAGAAGAAGCCCCGGCUAACUUCGUGCCAGCAGCCGCAGUAAGAC